rnacentral:rRNA from 1 species
CCUACGGGGUGCAGCAGUGGGGAAUAUUGCACAAUGGGGGAAACCCUGAUGCAGCGACGCCGCGUGAGUGAAGAAGUAUUUCGGUAUGUAAAGCUCUAUCAGCAGGGAAGAAAAUGACGGUACCUGAUUAAGAAGCCCCGGCUAACUACGUGCCAGCAGCCGCGGUAAUACGUAGGGGGCAAGCGUUAUCCGGAUUUACUGGGUGUAAAGGGGGCGUAGACGGCAGCACAAGUCUGGAGUGAAAUGCCGGGGCUUAACCCCGGAACUGCUUUGGAAACUGUGCAGCUAGAGUGCAGGAGAGGUAAGUGGAAUUCCUAGUGUAGCGGUGAAAUGCGUAGAUAUUAGGAGGAACACCAGUGGCGAAGGCGGCUUACUGGACUGUAACUGACGUUGAGGCUCGAAAGCGUGGGGAGCAAACAGGAUUAGAUACCCUUGUAGUC